UAAUGGGAGCCAUCUAACUGGGUAUUUAAUAGAGGGAUUUGGAACCUCUUCACUGCAAUAAGGCAAGCCCCGGUGCAUUUGCCCCUUCCUUGUAUUUUUUAAAAAGACUUUUAUACACUUAAGUCUAGUGAAAUGUGCAUUAAGUAUAUAGGAAUUGCUUGGAAACUAUUUGAUGCAUUGACUACCUUGAUAUCCAUUCCUAUUAUAGAUACUUCUUUGGAAAUAUCAAAUAUUGUUUACAAAAAUGCUUAGCCCUACUUAGAUCUUGUGGAUAGAGGUUGUCUUUUGCAAUACUGCCUAGCACAGGGGUUACCCUGAGAAAGGAUGGCUUCUACCUGUAAGAAUAUUUUCAUUGGGAGCAUGGUGGGAUCUUACUGCAAAGUUCCAUAUAAUGCUCUUUCCAUCCUUAGGAACACAAAACAAUCCUAAAGGUGGAAGUACUUAACUCGAGACUUGGGCUAGGAACAGGUGAUGCUCCACCCAUGUUAAUUAAGGAUUGGAUGUGUAUGUAGGCCUGUAUGAUCAAGGACUAUCUUAACUGGCCACAUGCCCUAGAUAUGGGACAGGGUAAGCUUGAACCUGGCUAUUCCAUACAUGAAAAGACAAUCGCGCACUGGGAGUGGAGAGAUGGCGAGAGUGGCACGUACCCUCCUGGCAAAGGACCACCUAAAAGGGGUGGUGUGCUCUCGGGUGGCGCGGACCUGUUCAUGCAGUGAAGGAUCUGUAGGAAUGGUAGACAUAUGCAAGAUUUACGAGAAACAUAUGUCAUGUGGUUAAAGAUCCUCAGCUGAGUAAAUCGAUUCAGAUCGCCGUUAUAUCCCCGGAUAGUGGAGACUUGAUCUCUGACCUGCAACUUAGGUCAGGAUGUAACAUUAUGAAUAAAAAUGAUGUUGUAUUGAUGAGAUGGUGAAAUUAGACUAGAUGUAACCAAAGUCUAUUAAUAUUUAAUCUGGAGUUAAAAUAUUGAAAGCAAGGACUCACUUUAGUAAGCUAUUUCUGCAAAAGUAUCUAAGUUGAUUCUUGCUAAAGCCUUUUCCUUGAUUCCUAUUUAACCAGCAUAUCCUUGAGAGUCAUUUUUCCUUAGUCGGGUAAGACCUGCGAAAGUACACUCCGUACUCAGGGUUUUUGAACCCAUGUUGUUGUAGGUGAUGAGGAGUACUCUAAGUUUUCGUGUGGCUGGAGGGCGUUUUCAGUUCUGGAGGAGGACUAGCUAGGUUUAUGUAUGAGCUUUGGAGGGUUUCUACCUGCCUGCUUUUGUAUUAAAUUAUGCACUUUGAGUAUAUCAGGACUUGUAAUAAAUGUAACUCUUCC
rnacentral:lncRNA from 1 species